rnacentral:rRNA from 1 species
UUAUGGCUCAGGACGAACGCUGGCGGCGUGCCUAAUACAUGCAAGUCGAACGGUCUUUCUAUGGAAGCUUGCUUCCACUGAGAAGAUAGUGGCGAACGGGUGAGUAACACGUGGGUAACCUGCCCAUAAGAGGGGGAUAACAUCCGGAAACGGGUGCUAAUACCGCAUAGUUUUCUUGAUCGCAUGAUCGGGAAAGGAAAGACGGCCUUUGUGCUGUCGCUUAUGGAUGGACCCGCGGCGUAUUAGUUAGUUGGUGAGGUAACGGCUCACCAAGACGAUGAUACGUAGCCGACCUGAGAGGGUGAUCGGCCACAUUGGGACUGAGACACGGCCCAAACUCCUACGGGAGGCAGCAGUAGGGAAUCUUCCGCAAUGGACGAAAGUCUGACGGAGCAACGCCGCGUGAGUGAAGAAAGGUUUUCGGAUCGUAAAACUCUGUUGUCAGAGAAGAACAAGUUGGAGAGUAACUGCUCCAGCCUUGACGGUAUCUGACCAGAAAGCCACGGCUAACUACGUGCCAGCAGCCGC